rnacentral:rRNA from 1 species
GGUUAAUAUUCCUGUACUUGGUGUUACUGCGAAGGGGGGACGGAGAAGGCUAUGUUAGCCGGGCGACGGUUGUCCCGGUUUAAGCAUGUAGGCUGAUUGUCCAGGCAAAUCCGGAAAAUCAAGGCUGAGGUGUGAUGACGAGGCACUACGGUGCUGAAGUAACAAAUGCCCUGCUUCCAGGAAAAGCCUCUAAGCAUCAGGUAACAUCAAAUCGUACCCCAAACCGACACAGGUGGUCAGGUAGAGAAUACCAAGGCGCUUGAGAGAACUCGGGUGAAGGAACUAGGCAAAAUGGUGCCGUAACUUCGGGAGAAGGCACGCUGGUGUGUAGGUGAAGUCCCUGCGGAUGGAGCUGAGACCAGUCGAAGAUACCAGCUGGCUGCAACUGUUUAUUAAAAACACAGCACUGUGCAAACACGAAAGUGGACGUAUACGGUGUGACGCCUGCCCGGUGCCGGAAGGUUAAUUGAUGGGGUUAGCGGUAACGCGAAGCUCUUGAUCGAAGCCCCGGUAAACGGCGGCCGUAACUAUAACGGUCCUAAGGUAGCGAAAUUCCUUGUCGGGUAAGUUCCGACCUGCACGAAUGGCGUAAUGAUGGCCAGGCUGUCUCCACCCGAGACUCAGUGAAAUUGAACUCGCUGUGAAGAUGCAGUGUACCCGCGGCAAGACGGAAAGACCCCGUGAACCUUUACUAUAGCUUGACACUGAACAUUGAGCCUUGAUGUGUAGGAUAGGUGGGAGGCUUUGAAGUGUGGACGCCAGUCUGCAUGGAGCCGACCUUGAAAUACCACCCUUUAAUGUUUGAUGUUCUAACGUGGGCCCCUUACCGGGGUUGCGGACAGUGUCUGGUGGGUAGUUUGACUGGGGCGGUCUCCUCCUAAAGAGUAACGGAGGAGCACGAAGGUUGGCUAAUCCUGGUCGGACAUCAGGAGGUUAGUGCAAUGGCAUAAGCCAGCUUGACUGCGAGCGUGACGGCGCGAGCAGGUGCGAAAGCAGGUCAUAGUGAUCCGGUGGUUCUGAAUGGAAGGGCCAUCGCUCAACGGAUAAAAGGUACUCCGGGGAUAACAGGCUGAUACCGCCCAAGAGUUCAUAUCGACGGCGGUGUUUGGCACCUCGAUGUCGGCUCAUCACAUCCUGGGGCUGAAGUAGGUCCCAAGGGUAUGGCUGUUCGCCAUUUAAAGUGGUACGCGAGCUGGGUUUAGAACGUCGUGAGACAGUUCGGUCCCUAUCUGCCGUGGGCGCUGGAGAACUGAGGGGGGCUGCUCCUAGUACGAGAGGACCGGAGUGGACGCAUCACUGGUGUUCGGGUUGUCAUGCCAAUGGCACUGCCCGGUAGCUAAAUGCGGAAGAGAUAAGUGCUGAAAGCAUCUAAGCACGAAACUUGCCCCGAGAUGAGUUCUCCCUGACUCCUUGAGAGUCCUGAAGGAACGUUGAAGACGACGACGUUGAUAGGCCGGGUGUGUAAGCGCAGCGAUGCGUUGAGCUAACCGGUACUAAUGAACCGUGAGGCUUAACCUU